rnacentral:misc_RNA from 1 species
GCCGAAAAAACCUUCCGGCCCUGGGUUUUUCCAAAGACCACGGGCACGGGCACCUGGCGAGGGGAGUCGCGUACCCUCCCCCGCUUAAACGCGGAGAGAAGCUAGCGGGCCCUGGCCGGAUCGCAACGACUCGUAGAAUGUUUCUUACCGUCGGUGCGGCAUCCGGCCUCGCAUGCCCUGCCUGAUAACCUGAGGAACCGUUCGGCGGUUCCCCCGAU